AUGAUGCUGGCAAGAAGGGUUCUCUCUGCAGAGAUGGACUACAACCCUUGCCCACAGUGUCAGAGCCCCUGUUCCCAGAGUUUCCCACCCCAUCUCCUGCUUGUCACUCAUCUUGUGACAAAACCUCUGCCUGGAAGCAUUCCGGGACCAUGGAUGGGUCAUGGUGGCCCCUGGGGUCUUGGUCCCACAUCAAGUAUAAGCGGGACAGGUGGAAAAUCCCUGAAUUGGAAUGACCCUCUGUCCUCAGCAGAGGAGACAGGAAAAGCGCUCUCACCCUGGGGAGUGCUGGCCACACAGAAGGGCUGUGUCACGCAGAGAAGGCACAGGAGCAGAGGGCUGCCGCAACAGACCCCCACCACGGUGUCCGCUCACUGCGUGGCCUGACUGUCUCCCAAGAUUGUGAACUUCUCGGGACAGGGACCAUGUCUUAUUCACCUUUGUUCUGCUGUGUCCAGCACGUGCAGGCGUUCAAUGAAUGAGAGCAAUGAUUGGCACUUGGAAGGGCAGUUAGGAACCAGGGAGGGGGGACAUGAUAAGGAAGGAUUCUCUAAUCUGAACCUGCACUGCCCACCAGGACUGGUUGGUCUCUGGAUGGAAGAAGCAGUGGGGGUUUCGGUGGUAAACAAGCACCUGCUCCACAGCCUGAUCCCACAGCCCAGCAUGAAGACAGGCUAAGAGCCAGAACACCGAGAGCUGGGCUUCUGACAGUCACCCCCAGAGACUGCCUGCCAUUCCUGUCCUCUUACCAGAUGCUCUGCCUGUAGGUCAAGGCCUAGUUCAAACAUUUUAGCUUGGAAGGUCUGGGUUUUUUUUUUAAUGCAAUGUCAUGAAAUUUAGCACAUGGCCUUUGUGGCAUCUGUUUCACUGCCCUAAUAUUUUUUUUUUUCCUUUUCCUGUUUGUUUCAGACAACUGAGGUUGCUGGGUAAAAGAAUCUGCAUACAAAUGAGGUGUUGCUAAAUAUUCUCAGCCAUGAUACAAAUCAGGGAUCCUAAGCUUUUUUUUAAUAUUAAAAUAGUGGUGUAGAAAAGUUCAAACAGAUGUGAACUGUAGCCAUCACAGAGACAAGGGAUGAGGCGGUCUGUAAACAGUAUGAAGGGGCAGGUGCUCCCAGCAGCAGCCAGGCAGUCAGAGAGUGCAGCCUGGAGGCUCUGUACUGGACCAGCAAGAUGUAUAUGAGACAUAAAGAGGGCACAAGAGGGAUGGUAAAAGCAUCACGUGGUGCUUUAUGGCAUUGAACUGCAACACUGCAAAAAAAAAAAAAAUUAAAUGAUAGUUUCUCCUUUUUCUAUAUUGGAGGCACAUAUAAUUUUUUUGUCAGAGUUCUGAUAAAGCUUUUAUUACUAAUUUAAAAGAAGAUAAAUAUAGUAAGAAAAAAGUCAAGGAAAACAGUUUUUAUCUGUCAAAAUUUUAAACUGUGUACCAUUCACCCCAGAAAUCCCACUUUUGGGCAUCCAUUCGAGGGAAACAUUCACGGUAGAUAAAGCAGCUUACACCAUUUUUAAAGCAUUUUAUGGCAAAAAUGUCUAUAUCAGUAAGGGAACAAUGAACUAGGAUAGGACACAGCCAAACUGUUGGAAUACUAGGCAGCAAUGAAAAAGCGAAAGCUUCUGCUGUUCAGACCCUAGGCUUCUAUCAAGCACAGAUCUGUUAUCACAGGGAGAGCAGAGCACAGAUGCAGGGCAGUGUUUGCCUGCCAUGAGGAAAAACAAACAGUCCCCAAAUCCACACACACAGAGCCUGGCUAAAACUAAGGAUGGCCAGGGAAACAGAAAUUCCCUUUACCACUCCCCCACAAGCCUGGCACCAAGUAACAAGCGACAUCAGUCUACCGCUGAUGGGGAAGCAACGCAUAUAGACACAGCCUCUCUGUGGCAUGGAUAUGAUGGGGCUUCUCAAAGCCGAUGGUAUAGCAGGAACACUGAGAAAGACCUUCUGGUGCCCCAGACACCACUCUCAGGACAAGUUAACAGCAGACCCACUGCUAAAGGAAUCUGAAGUCUGUGAUGCACUGGGGUAAUGAUAUCACCAAAGAAAUAAAAACCUAUCUCAUCUCAUAAUCCAUACUAACAAGCUGACAGAAUAGGCAUGCUCAUUUCUGGGCACAGAUACUGUUUACUAAUUUAUUCCUCUAAAAUGAUGUUUAGCACUAAAUUUAAAGCAUCAAUACACAUUUUAAAAGGAAGAUAAAACUACUAUCAAAAGGUAGUCAUCAGAAAUGUACUCAGAGAUUGCCCAGAUCUUGGGACUUCUCGGAGAAUUAACAUAACUACAAUUAAUAUGCUAAAUGAUCCAGUGGAAAAGGUGGAAACCUACAAGAACAGAUGGGGGGAUUUCAGCAGAGAUAUGAAACUAUAAAAUAGUCAAAUGGAUGGAAAUGCUAGAAAUAAGAGACACCAUGUCAGAAAUGAAGAAGUGCUUUGACAGGCUCAGAUCAAACGAUGCAUAGCUGAUAAAAGCAUUAUUGUACUCAACAGGUCAGUAAGAAUAGGCUGAAACACAAAGAAAAAUGAGAAUGGGGAAAAAAAUAAUACCCAGAAAAGAAUAGUCAAAAGUUGUGGGACAAUAUCAGUCUAGCAUAAUUGAAGCUGCAAAACGAAAAGAACAUUAGAAUUAUCUGAACUAAUGGUCAACAGUUUUCUAAAAUUAAUGGCAGCAAACCAUACACCCAAGAAAUCCAGACAAUUCAGAACACAGCUNNNNNNNNNNNNNNNNNNNNNNNNNNNNNNNNNNNNNNNNNNNGUAAACUGUUAAUAAUAUGUCACUUAACGUACAGCCCUCUGUCUCAAAAAGCUCAUGUAACUAUUUGACUUCUAACAGGCCAAACAGUUCUCAGAGCUUUCUGAGAUGUUUUUCCUGGGAUAUAAUCCUCAAAUUUGGCUCAAAUAAAGUUUUCCACUUAGUAGAUCAAUUGAUUUUUUGUUGACAGUAUCUAUACCUUUCAGAUAGUUG
ensembl:lncRNA